CCUACGGGAUGCAGCAGUAGGGAAUAUUGCUCAAUGGGCGAAACCCUGAAGCAGCAACGCCGCGUGGAGGAUGAAGGUUUUAGGAUUGUAACCUCCUUUUAUUAGAGAAGAUUAUGACGGUUCCUAACGAAUAAGCACCGGCCAAAUCCGUGCCAGCAGCCGCGGUCAUACUGCAGGUGCCAGCGUUACUCCGAAUCACUGGGCGUAAAGAGUGCGUAGGCGGGGUAAUAAGUCAGGUGGGAAAUCCUAUGGGCUAACUCCAGACCGGCAUUUGAAACUGGUACUCUGGAGUGUGGGAGAGGUAGGUGGAAUGCUUGGUGUAGGGGUAAAAUGCGUAGAGAUCAAGAGGAAUACUCAUUGCGAAGGCGGCCUGCUGGAACAUUACUGACGCUGAUGCACGAAAGCGUGGGGAGCAAACAGGAUUAGAUACCCCAGUAGUC
rnacentral:rRNA from 1 species